rnacentral:lncRNA from 1 species
GAACCUUCUAAGGAGCAGCAUCGCGCAUCUGUAAAGGCUAAAUGAAUGGUUCAGAGACAAAAUUGAUCAUGAUCUGAUUGGCAGAGAGUACCGUUCUACAGUAAAGCAAAGUUCUAAAAUCUGCCACCUCUUACUGGUUUCCAAGGUCUGGUACUGUCUCUGGAGGGAUCACAGAAAUGAUGAAGUAGUGAUGAGGUAGAGGGAUUCGCUGACUCUCCACAAGGUGCCGGCUUUGAGAACAACAGAUUGGCACAAUUUGAGCGGUUUCAGUUUUUCUGAGUGGAGUGCUCAUAUGGUAAGAGAUAAGGCAAUUAGGCCCCUGGAGGCCAUUCUGAUAGUCUUUGAGAGGGAAUAAUAUAGAGAAAAUGAAAAAUAAGUUGUCUAGGGAUACAAAAACAGUGUUCUAAUGAUAUAGCCAAUGAACUGUUAGCUGACUUGUGACUUGUGAAUCUUUAUCCACAAAUCCUUGAUCAGUUAUUCAUUUCUCAUUAAUUGGGGAGGAAUUUGGAUCUAUUUAGGGGCUACACAAAACUGAACCUUGCUUCAAAGUGGGCACCAGGCUAGAAAAAUCUGUGCCCAUUGG